AUACUGCUGAAGAGUCCCAAACUAGGGCGAAACAGCUGUCCAAUAA
rnacentral:hammerhead_ribozyme from 1 species